AUUGAACGCUGGCGGCAGGCCUAACACAUGCAAGUCGAGCGGAUGAAGGGAGCUUGCUCCUGGAUUCAGCGGCGGACGGGUGAGUAAUGCCUAGGAAUCUGCCUGGUAGUGGGGGAUAACGUCCGGAAACGGGCGCUAAUACCGCAUACGUCCUGAGGGAGAAAGUGGGGGAUCUUCGGACCUCACGCUAUCAGAUGAGCCUAGGUCGGAUUAGCUAGUUGGUGGGGUAAAGGCCUACCAAGGCGACGAUCCGUAACUGGUCUGAGAGGAUGAUCAGUCACAAGGGAACUGAGACACGGUCCAGACUCCUACGGGAGGCAGCAGUGGGGAAUAUUGGACAAUGGGCGAAAGCCUGAUCCAGCCAUGCCGCGUGUGUGAAGAAGGUCUUCGGAUUGUAAAGCACUUUAAGUUGGGAGGAAGGGCAGUAAGUUAAUACCUUGCUGUUUUGACGUUACCAACAGAAUAAGCACCGGCUAACUUCGUG
rnacentral:rRNA from 1 species